rnacentral:lncRNA from 1 species
AUGUCACAGCUCUUAAAAAUGGGCAUGUUCAUAAGGGUGUUUGUAAUUAAUCAGAUUCCUGAUAGUAACUUACUGCUGGUGGUGCUUCAGGCAGAUUGUGACUGUUCUCAGCAGUACGCACCAAUCACCAUGGAGCCCAAAGAGGUCAAAUAUACCCUUAAACCCCAGCUAAAUCAGGCUCCACAGACCACACACUGAGGAGAUGAAUCACAGCUUUGAAUGAGAUCUGUGAGGAGAUGAAUCACAGCUUUGAAUGAGAUCUGUUUAGUCACUUAAAGGUGCCAACAGUACAUUAACUUCAUUAGAAAUGUUUUACACAAUGUACUGGGUGCACCUUUUUUAAAACAAGUAAAACUUUAGGUGGAUUAUAAAGUGGAUUAUAUUUAAAAUAUAUAUAUUUGUGAACUGGAUUGAGGUAUAAAGCAAUUGUUUGUUGGUUAUUCUUGCUUUUUCGUCAUUUUUUUUAACCACUGAGCACACAAUGCCUCAGUUAAAUGUGUCAACAUGAGUUCUCAAAAAAUACGAAGGAGGCCUGAGACUUGUCAAGCUUACCACCCUCAAGUAAACGCACACAUACUAGACUGCUUUCAGACAUGCAUUACAGCAAUGCCUUUUGAUUACAAUCUGUCUGCAUGCAAAAUAAGAUUUUUCUGAAACCUCUGGUACAUAUUUUGUGUCUCUGUUCAGAUUUAGGAAAAUGCUAAGGACUGCGGUGGGGCCGCGGCAAUCAGCUUGUCCAUCAUGCUGUUCCUAGCCUGUUUAUCAGUCUCUGCGCUCAUCCGUCAAUGACAGAGUGCCUGUUAAACUCCCAAGAGAGUCACCUAUAGUGCACAUGCUCAACUCAGCAUGUUUUUAUUAGCACUAACAUGAGUUGACUAGACUAGAACACAUUAUUUUUCUACAGUGCAAAGUCUUCAACAUCAAUUAUAUGUAGCAUUCCUCGUUAAAUUGUACAAGUUUGUGGAAGUUUUUUUUCCACAACAGUGCUGGGCUUUUAUGGCUUUGUCGUCACACUGUCUCUGAACCGUCUGCAAAAACGUCUUUGAAAAAUCAGUCAUCAGUGGGGAUAGAUCAAUAUGAGACGCAGACAAGGAUGAACAGAAGCUGAGCUUCACUGAACCGGGACAUUACAGAGGAGAAUUUCUGGCCAGUAGCUGUAUGUGACUGUAUCUCUAUAUAAGGCAGAAGAAAAGUGCACAAUCUAUUGAUCUGUGUGUAAAUGAGAGAGAGUUAGCAUGGCUUUUCACAUCUUUCUCUGACACCAAAGGUGAUCAAUGGACUAAUAAAUUAACAUUAUGACAAGGUUUUUAUGGAAAUUCAAAGAUGUAUUUAAACCUUUGAUUUUAAAGGGGUCAUGUGAUGCGAUUUCAAGUUUUCCUUUCUCUUUGGAGUGUUACAAGUUGUUUGUGAAUAGAUAAGAUCUCUAAAGUUGCAAAGACUAAAGUCUCAAAUCCAAAGAGAUAUUCUUUAUCAAAGACUGGUCCACGCCCUCCUUAUACUGU